GCGAACUAUCCCGGCUAAAGAAACGUGUAAGUUCCGAUACGUGAAACUUGCCCAAAAUCUCCUCAGGGUUGCUGGCAUUAGCCUGAUCUGGACCCCAGGACCAUGGCCGAUUCUUUUUAAGUAAUCGAGUUAAAGGCUCAGCGAUAUUAGAAAAAUUCGGAAUGAAUUUUCGAAACCAAGAGCAGGUCUGCAAAAAGGUGCGAAGAUGACGCAAAGACAAAGGUGUCUUCAUUUCUAACACUGCACGGACCUUGUCAUUAUCUAGCAACACACCCUCCUGUGUGAUGACAUGACCAAGAUAUUUUACCUCGUCUCGUGCAAAGACACACUUGUUUCUGUUAGCGCGGAGCUUAAACAGGCGUAAUCUCUCAAACACCGCUCGCAGAUCCGACACAUGUUGCUCAAAGCUACCCUGUGAUAUAAGCAAUAGAUCAUCUUGGUAAGCUAGUAAAGUUACGUUCUUCAGCGACGCACCUGACCGUAGUCGGUCGAUAAGGCGCUGGAACGUCGAAGGCGCGUUCUUUAACCCGAAGGGCAUACGCUUAAAGCGAUAUGCUCCGAAUGGUGUUAAAAACGCAGUCUUAUCCCUGUCCUGUUCCCGAACUGAAAUCUGCCAAAAUCCACUGCGCAUGUCAAGAGUACUCAUAAAACAGUUACUUUUAGUUGACUGGAUAAGCUCGUCUAUUAACGGCAUAGGAU
rnacentral:misc_RNA from 1 species